rnacentral:rRNA from 1 species
UGGGGAAUAUUGGACAAUGGGGGGAACCCUGAUCCAGCCAUGCCGCGUGUGUGAAGAAGGCCUUAUGGUUGUAAAGCACUUUAAGCAGUGAAGAAUACAUCAUGGCUAAUAUCCGUGAUGAAUGACAUUAGCUGCAGAAUAAGCACCGGCUAACUCUGUGCCAGCAGCCGCGGUAAUACAGAGGGUGCGAGCGUUAAUCGGAAUUACUGGGCGUAAAGCGAGCGUAGGUGGUUUAUUAAGUCAGAUGUGAAAUCCCUGGGCUUAACCUAGGAACUGCAUCUGAUACUGACAAACUAGAGUAGGUGAGAGGAAAGUAGAAUUCCAGGUGUAGCGGUGAAAUGCGUAGAGAUCUGGAGGAAUACCGAUGGCGAAGGCAGCUUUCUGGCAUCAUACUGACACUGAGGUUCGAAAGCGUGGGUAGCAAACGGGAUUAGAUACCCUGGUAGUCCACGCCGUAAACGAUGUCUACCAGUCGUUGGGUCUUUUAAAGACUUAGUGACGCAGUUAACGCGAUAAGUAGACCGCCUGGGGAGUACGGCCGCAAGGUUA